rnacentral:rRNA from 1 species
CCUACGGGAGGCAGCAGUAAGGAAUAUUGGUCAAUGGGCGCAAGCCUGAACCAGCCAUGCCGCGUGCAGGAAGACGGCCCUAUGGGUUGUAAACUGCUUUUGAACAAGAGAAAACCUCGGUACGUGUACCGAGCUGAUAGUAUUGUUAGAAUAAGCAUCGGCUAACUUCGUGCCAGCAGCCGCGGUAAGACGAAGGAUGCAAGCGUUAUCCGGAUUCAUUGGGUUUAAAGGGUGCGUAGGCGGCCUGAUAAGUCAGUGGUGAAAUCUCUCAGCUUAACUGAGAAACUGCCAUUGAUACUGUCGGGCUUGAGUACAGAUGAUGUGGGCGGAAUAUGACAUGUAGUGGUGAAAUACUUAGAUAUGUCAUAGAACACCGAUUGCGAAGGCAGCUCACAAAACUGUAACUGACGCUGAGCACGAAGUAGNGGAGUACAACAGAGUAGUAUACCUACGUAGUACGCGACCGUAACGAACUAGUAUUACUCGUUGUUGGUCGAUAU